AAAGCUGGGAACGUCUGGGGAGACUGCCGGUGGAUAAACCGGAGGAAGGCGGGGAGUGACGUCAAGUCCUCAUGGCCCUUACAUCCCGGGCUACACACGUGCUACAAUGGCAGGUACAAAGGGCAGCGACACAGCGAUGUGAAGCCAAUCCCGAAAAGCCGGUCUCAGUCCGGAUUGGAGUCUGCAACUCGACUCCAUGAAGUUGGAAUCGCUAGUAAUCGCGGAUCAGCACGCCGCGGUGAAUACGUUCCCGGGCCUU
rnacentral:rRNA from 1 species